rnacentral:lncRNA from 1 species
CACCCACCCACCCCGCGCCGCGCUCCCACCGCCCGCGUGGCCGUGGGCCCCCGCCCCGCUCCUACCGUGCGGGGGACAAGUGAGGGAGGGAGCGCGGAGGCGGCAGUUACCGGCGAGCGAGCGCCCUUCUUGCAGAGCGGUCCCCUGAAGACGCCUUUGAUGCCGCGGUAGUGCCCGUUGCUGAGGUGCCGGGAGCUGAUGACCAGGAGGCGCAGCGCUGUGCGCUCAGGGCUGGCAGUGCAAGCUCAGCUCCUUUUCAGCAGGUCACAGAACAGAAAGAGAGUUUACAUCCCACCCAAACAACAUGCAGAGAGGCCUCAAUUCUUCUUCUGUUGUGAAGAGACAUGGAAAUUCCUCUAUUCCAUGGAGCUUCUUUUGUCCUACAUCUUCUACAGAGCAUCCAGUGUGGCUGGCCAGCAUGCAUCACCUGCAGAGAAGCUGCAACAAAAGCCAAAACUCUGCAAGAGCUUCAUUGUAGUCUAAGGAUAGUACUUUACUCCUUAAACUCAUGGAGUCUUACAUAGUUCAUUUACUAAGACUGUAUGAAAGGGAAAUGAUUUGCCCCAGAAUAAACUGCACAGUACCCA